AUGGCGAGCCCGUCGAGCAGCCUGUGGGGCGCCCAAGGGCAAGCCUCCACCAUGGCGCAGCUGAUGGGCGUGGACGCGCUCGGGCUGGUCUCCAUGGUCGUGCAGGCCGCCCUGGUGGCGCGCCGCCACCGGGAUGCCUGCGUGCGGCUCGCGCAGCACGUGGAGCUCGUUGGCGGCCUGCUCGGGGAGCUGGAGCUCGCCGAGCUGAUGCGUCGGGAGGCCACCAGGCGGCCGCUGGAGCAGCUCGGCGGCGCGCUGCGGCGGUGCUACGCGCUGGUCACGGCGUGCCAGGACUGCGGCUACCUGCGCCGCCUGCUCCUGGGAGCCCGGAUGGCCGAGGAGCUCCGCGCCGCGCAGCAUGAGAUCGACAUGUUCAUCCACCUCAUCCCGCUCAUCGCCCUCGUCGACAAUUCCACUGCAGAUAGUCGCCGUGUCAAGGCUGAUGAGGGGGUGCUCACUGUAGUCACAGAUAGUUCAAAUCGUCACAUCAGGAAGGAGCUACCAAACUCUGUGGUAUUGGAGAACACCCAUUUGUAG
rnacentral:rRNA from 1 species